GGUUAAGUUAGAAAGGGCGCACGGUGGAUGCCUUGACACUAGGAGUCGAUGAAGGAUGGGACUAACGCCGAUAUGCUUCGGGGAGCUGUAAGUAAGCUUUGAUCCGAAGAUUUCCGAAUGGGGAAACCCACCAUACGUAAUGGUAUGGUAUCCUUAUCUGAAUACAUAGGGUAAGGAAGACAGACCCAGGGAACUGAAACAUCUAAGUACCUGGAGGAAGAGAAAGCAAAUGCGAUUUCCUGAGUAGCGGCGAGCGAAACGGAACAUAGCCCAAACCAAGAGGCUUGCCUCUUGGGGUUGUAGGACAUUCUAUACGGAGUUACAAAGGAACGAGGUAGACGAAGCGACCUGGAAAGGUCCGUCGUAGAGGGUAAAAACCCCGUAGUCGAAACUUCGUUCUCUCUUGAAUGUAUCCUGAGUACGGCGGAACACGUGAAAUUCCGUCGGAAUCUGGGAGGACCAUCUCCCAAGGCUAAAUACUCCCUAGUGAUCGAUAGUGAACCAGUACCGUGAGGGAAAGGUGAAAAGCACCCCGGAAGGGGAGUGAAAGAGAUCCUGAAACCGUGUGCCUACAAAUAGUCAGAGCCCGUUAACGGGUGAUGGCGUGCCUUUUGUAGAAUGAACCGGCGAGUUACGAUCCCGUGCGAGGUUAAGCUGAAGAGGCGGAGCCGCAGCGAAAGCGAGUCUGAAUAGGGCGUUUAGUACGUGGUCGUAGACCCGAAACCAGGUGAUCUACCCAUGUCCAGGGUGAAGUUCAGGUAACACUGAAUGGAGGCCCGAACCCACGCACGUUGAAAAGUGCGGGGAUGAGGUGUGGGUAGCGGAGAAAUUCCAAUCGAACCUGGAGAUAGCUGGUUCUCCCCGAAAUAGCUUUAGGGCUAGCCUUAAGUGUAAGAGUCUUGGAGGUAGAGCACUGAUUGGACUAGGGGUCCUCAUCGGAUUACCGAAUUCAGUCAAACUCCGAAUGCCAAUGACUUAUCCUUAGGAGUCAGACUGCGAGUGAUAAGAUCCGUAGUCAAAAGGGAAACAGCCCAGACCGCCAGCUAAGGUCCCAAAGUGUGUAUUAAGUGGAAAAGGAUGUGGAGUUGCUUAGACAACUAGGAUGUUGGCUUAGAAGCAGCCACCAUUUAAAGAGUGCGUAAUAGCUCACUAGUCGAGUGACUCUGCGCCGAAAAUGUACCGGGGCUAAAUACACCACCGAAGCUGCGGAUUGAUACCGAAUGGUAUCAGUGGUAGGGGAGCGUUCUAAGGACAGUGAAGUCAGACCGGAAGGACUGGUGGAGUGCUUAGAAGUGAGAAUGCCGGUAUGAGUAGCGAAAGACGGGUGAGAAUCCCGUCCACCGAAUGCCUAAGGUUUCCUGAGGAAGGCUCGUCCGCUCAGGGUUAGUCAGGACCUAAGCCGAGGCCGACAGGCGUAGGCGAUGGACAACAGGUUGAUAUUCCUGUACCACCUCUUUAUCGUUUGAGCAAUGGAGGGACGCAGAAGGAUAGAAGAAGCGUGCGAUUGGUUGUGCACGUCCAAGCAGUUAGGCUGAUAAGUAGGCAAAUCCGCUUAUCGUGAAGGCUGAGCUGUGAUGGGGAAGCUCCUUAUGGAGCGAAGUCUUUGAUUCCCCGCUGCCAAGAAAAGCUACUAGCGAGAUAAAAGGUGCCUGUACCGCAAACCGACACAGGUAGGCGAGGAGAGAAUCCUAAGGUGUGCGAGAGAACUCUGGUUAAGGAACUCGGCAAAAUGACCCCGUAACUUCGGGAGAAGGGGUGCUUUCUUAACGGAAAGCCGCAGUGAAUAGGCCCAAGCGACUGUUUAGCAAAAACACAGCUCUCUGCGAAGCCGUAAGGCGAAGUAUAGGGGGUGACACCUGCCCGGUGCUGGAAGGUUAAGGAGAGGGGUUAGCGUAAGCGAAGCUCUGAACUGAAGCCCCAGUAAACGGCGGCCGUAACUAUAACGGUCCUAAGGUAGCGAAAUUCCUUGUCGGGUAAGUUCCGACCCGCACGAAAGGUGUAACGAUUUGGGCACUGUCUCAACCAGAGACUCGGUGAAAUUAUAGUACCUGUGAAGAUGCAGGUUACCCGCGACAGGACGGAAAGACCCCGUGGAGCUUUACUGUAGCCUGAUAUUGAAUUUUGGUACAGUUUGUACAGGAUAGGCGGGAGCCUUUGAAACCGGAGCGCUAGCUUCGGUGGAGGCGCUGGUGGGAUACCGCCCUGACUGUAUUGAAAUUCUAACCUACGGGUCUUAUCGACCCGGGAGACAGUGUCAGGUGGGCAGUUUGACUGGGGCGGUCGCCUCCUAAAGUGUAACGGAGGCGCCCAAAGGUUCCCUCAGAAUGGUUGGAAAUCAUUCGUAGAGUGCAAAGGCAUAAGGGAGCUUGACUGCGAGACCUACAAGUCGAGCAGGGACGAAAGUCGGGCUUAGUGAUCCGGUGGUUCCGCAUGGAAGGGCCAUCGCUCAACGGAUAAAAGCUACCCCGGGGAUAACAGGCUUAUCUCCCCCAAGAGUCCACAUCGACGGGGAGGUUUGGCACCUCGAUGUCGGCUCAUCGCAUCCUGGGGCUGUAGUCGGUCCCAAGGGUUGGGCUGUUCGCCCAUUAAAGCGGUACGCGAGCUGGGUUCAGAACGUCGUGAGACAGUUCGGUCCCUAUCCGUCGUGGGCGUAGGAAAUUUGAGAGGAGCUGUCCUUAGUACGAGAGGACCGGGAUGGACGCACCGCUGGUGUACCAGUUGUUCUGCCAAGGGCAUAGCUGGGUAGCUAUGUGCGGAAGGGAUAAGUGCUGAAAGCAUCUAAGCAUGAAGCCCCCCUCAAGAUGAGAUUUCCCAUAGCGUAAGCUAGUAAGAUCCCUGAAAGAUGAUCAGGUUGAUAGGUUCGAGGUGGAAGCAUGGUGACAUGUGGAGCUGACGAAUACUAAUAGAUCGAGGACUUAACCAUAUA
rnacentral:rRNA from 1 species